AAGCGUGAAGCCCACCUCAAGAUUAGAUUUCCCAUAGCGUAAGCUAGUAAGACCCCUUGAAGAACACGAGGUUGAUAGGUCAGAGGUGUAAGUGCAGUAAUGUAUUAAGCUGACUGAUACUAAUAGGUCGAGGGCUUGACCAA
rnacentral:rRNA from 1 species